CCGAUUCAUAGCCCGACGGGGCGAAAACGGGAAACCUUCACCCGCUGGAAUCGGCACCUAUUCCCGAAGG
rnacentral:sRNA from 1 species